rnacentral:rRNA from 1 species
CCUACGGGCGGCAGCAGUGGGGAAUAUUGCACAAUGGGCGAAACCCUGAUGCAGCGACGCCGCGUGAGUGAAGAAGUAUUUCGGUAUGUAAAGCUCUAUCAGCAGGGAAGAAGCAAGACGGUACCUGACUAAGAAGCCCCGGCUAACUACGUGCCAGCAGCCGCGGUAAUACGUAGGGGGCCAGCGUUAUCCGGAUUUACUGGGUGUAAAGGGAGCGUAGACGGUAUGGCAAGUCUGAAGUGAAAGCCCAGGGCUUAACCCUGGGACUGCUUUGGAAACUGUUAGACUAGAGUGCUGGAGAGGUAAGUGGAAUUCCUAGUGUAGCGGUGAAAUGCGUAGAUAUUAGGAGGAACACCAGUGGCGAAGGCGACUUACUGGACAGUAACUGACGUUGAGGCUCGAAAGCGUGGGGAGCAAACAGGAUUAGAUACCCUAGUAGUC